CUUCCCUUCGACUGGGCCCCUAGGAAGGGAGCUGGGAAGGGAGUUACCAUCUGGGCUCUCCGGCGCCGCCUACUGAACAUUUUUGCCUGGGUUCAGAGGACCCCGCCUCCUAAAGCCACUCAUCCCAUCGGGCCUGAUUUCCUUACCCAAAUAAUACCGGAGGUGCCAGGGAGAGGAAGUCCAGCACUAGAUCAAAGCAAGAAAACUGCCAAGUUUCUUAAACAGACUGCCCUGCGUUCUCACCUGUGAUGCAGAUGUCUCACCGAUUCCCUCUGUUUGCGCCAAGGAGAGAAGGCUUUCAUGGAAUGUAGGAAUUCCUGACCGUGGGAUUUUAAGAACUGCAACUUUCAUGAAAUGGACCUUCACACGCUUUUCUCUGAAGGCCUCUAGCAGGUACAGACCUGGACUUAGGUGGAAAACCCUUCUAGUGCCCAUGAUUCUCACACAGACCCCAUGCAUGGCUCUCACAUAGGCCUCAGCCUCAGAAGUAACACCACGCAUGGACUAUAUCCAGUGGUCUACCUGUGGGGAAGGAUUCAACUCCUGAGGGUGUCACUCCCGAACAGUUCACCA